ACAUGCUUAGGUCAUGGAACAUGCUAAGGACAUGAGGCUGUCAUGUAACAUGCUUCGGACAGGCUUCAGACGUGCUGAAGUCAUUGGAC
rnacentral:lncRNA from 1 species